rnacentral:rRNA from 1 species
UACGUAGGUCCCGAGCGUUGUCCGGAUUUAUUGGGCGUAAAGCGCGCGCAGGUGGUUUCUUAAGUCUGAUGUGAAAGCCCACGGCUCAACCGUGGAGGGUCAUUGGAAACUGGGAGACUUGAGUGCAGAAGAGGAAAGUGGAAUUCCAUGUGUAGCGGUGAAAUGCGUAGAGAUAUGGAGGAACACCAGUGGCGAAGGCGACUUUCUGGUCUGUAACUGACACUGAGGCGCGAAAGCGUGGGGAGCAAACAGG